rnacentral:rRNA from 1 species
GACGAACGCUGGCGGCGUGCUUAACACAUGCCAGUCGAACGGAAAGGCCCUGCUUUUGUGGGGUGCUCGAGUGGCGAACGGGUGAGUAACACGUGAGUAACCUGCCCUUGACUUUGGGAUAACUUCAGGAAACUGGGGCUAUACCGGAUAGGAGCUCCUGCCGCCUGGUGGGGGUUGGAAAGUUUCGGCGGUUGGGGAUGGACUCGCGGCUUAUCAGCUUGUUGGUGGGGUAGUGGCUUACCAAGGCUUUGACGGGUAGCCGGCCUGAGAGGGUGACCGGCCACAUUGGGACUGAGAUACGGCCCAGACUCCUACGGGAGGCAGCAGUGGGGAAUAUUGCACAAUGGGCGGAAGCCUGAUGCAGCAACGCCGCGUGCGGGAUGACGGCCUUCGGGUUGUAAACCGCUUUCGCCUGUGACGAAGCGUGAGUGACGGUAAUGGGUAAAGAAGCACCGGCUAACUACGUG